AUGAUUUCAAACAUGUUAAAAGUAAUUAAUUUUACUCGACAAAAUAUUAUCUGGGUGUUUUUCAAAAACCGCGCGCAUUUUUCAGUCAGUCGCGUCCACACUCUGCUCAUCCCCCGCGGGACCGCGCUCACUCGCUCACUCACACUGAUCACAGCAGGACUACAGGCGACGCGGUCACGGAAAAUAACAGCCGGACACAGACAAACGAGUCCCGCAAAGUGUAUUUUUAAACUAAGGUUAGAGAGACGGCUGACAGUAUCUUCGUCAUCUCUAACCGUCACUCCCGCCACAGAUCUGAAGCGAGGAACAAUAUCAGUCAUUCAAGCUAUGAUCCUGGCAGAUCUACUAUCUGAAAAAAGACUCAGCAGAUUUUUUUCAAGACACACAAGAUGGAGCGUGGAGAGACCGGACAGUUCCCACAGUGCUAGUUUUUCAGCACCCACACCCCACACACAAAUUCAUAUAGAAGUUUUCAAUAAUAAAAAGUUUAUAUGA
ensembl:lncRNA